rnacentral:rRNA from 1 species
GAUGAACGCUGGCGGCGUGCCUAAUACAUGCAAGUCGAGCGAACGGACGAGAAGCUUGCUUCUCUGAUGUUAGCGGCGGACGGGUGAGUAACACGUGGAUAACCUACCUAUAAGACUGGGAUAACUUCGGGAAACCGGAGCUAAUACCGGAUAAUAUUUUGAACCGCAUGGUUCAAAAGUGAAAGACGGUCUUGCUGUCACUUAUAGAUGGAUCCGCGCUGCAUUAGCUAGUUGGUAAGGUAACGGCUUACCAAGGCAACGAUGCAUAGCCGACCUGAGAGGGUGAUCGGCCACACUGGAACUGAGACACGGUCCAGACUCCUGCGGGAGGCAGCAGUAGGGAAUCUUCCGCAAUGGGCGAAAGCCUGACGGAGCAACGCCGCGUGAGUGAUGAAGGUCUUCGGAUCGUAAAACUCUGUUAGUAGGGAAGAACAUAUGUGUAAGUAACUGUGCACAUCUUGACGGUACCUAAUCAGAAAGCCACGGCUAACUACGUG